AGGAUGUUGGCUUAGAAGCAGCCAUCAUUUAAAGAAAGCGUAAUAGCUCACUGGUCGAGUCGGCCUGCGCGGAAGAUGUAACGGGGCUAAACCAUGCACCGAAGCUGCGGCAGCGACGCUUAUGCGUUGUUGGGUAGGGGAGCGUUCUGUAAGCCUGCGAAGGUGUGCUGUGAGGCAUGCUGGAGGUAUCAGAAGUGCGAAUGCUGACAUAAGUAACGAUAAAGCGGGUGAAAAGCCCGCUCGCCGGAAGACCAAGGGUUCCUGUCCAACGUUAAUCGGGGCAGGGUGAGUCGACCCCUAAGGCGAGGCCGAAAGGCGUAGUCGAUGGGAAACAGGUUAAUAUUCCUGUACUUGGUGUUACUGCGAAGGGGGGACGGAGAAGGCUAUGUUGGCCGGGCGACGGUUGUCCCGGUUUAAGCGUGUAGGCUGGUUUUCCAGGCAAAUCCGGAAAAUCAAGGCUGAGGCGUGAUGACGAGGCACUACGGUGCUGAAGCAACAAAUGCCCUGCUUCCAGGAAAAGCCUCUAAGCAUCAGGUAACAUCAAAUCGUACCCCAAACCGACACAGGUGGUCAGGUAGAGAAUACCAAGGCGCUUGAGAGAACUCGGGUGAAGGAACUAGGCAAAAUGGUGCCGUAACU
rnacentral:rRNA from 1 species